rnacentral:rRNA from 1 species
GACGAACGCUGGCGGCGUGCCUAAUACAUGCAAGUCGAGCGAAGUUUUUCUGGUGCUUGCACUAGAAAAACUUAGCGGCGAACGGGUGAGUAACACGUAAAGAACCUGCCUCAUAGACUGGGACAACUAUUGGAAACGAUAGCUAAUACCGGAUAACAGUAUUUCUCGCAUGAGAGAUAUUUAAAAGUUGGUUAUGCUAACACUAUGAGAUGGCUUUGCGGUGCAUUAGCUAGUUGGUGGGGUAAAGGCCCACCAAGGCGACGAUGCAUAGCCGACCUGAGAGGGUGAUCGGCCACACUGGGACUGAGACACGGCCAAGACUCCUACGGGAGGCAGCAGUAGGGAAUCUUCCGCAAUGGGCGAAAGCCUGACGGAGCAACGCCGCGUGAGUGAAGAAGGAUUUCGGUUCGUAAAGCUCUGUUGUUAGGGAAGAAUGGAUAUGUAGUAACUAUACAUGUAAGAGACGGUACCUAACCAGAAAGCCACGGCUAACUACGUG